GACGAACGCUGGCGGCGUGCUUAACACAUGCAAGUCGAACGGAAAGGCCCUGCUUUUGUGGGGUGCUCGAGUGGCGAACGGGUGAGUAACACGUGAGUAACCUGCCCUUGACUUUGGGAUAACUUCAGGAAACUGGGGCUAAUACCGGAUAGGAGCUCCUGCUGCAUGGUGGGGGUUGGAAAGUUUCGGCGGUUGGGGAUGGACUCGCGGCUUAUCAGCUUGUUGGUGGGGUAGUGGCUUACUAAGGCUUUGACGGGUAGCCGGCCUGAGAGGGUGACCGGCCACAUUGGGACUGAGAUACGGCCCAGACUCCUACGGGAGGCAGCAGUGGGGAAUAUUGCACAAUGGGCGGAAGCCUGAUGCAGCAACGCCGCGUGCGGGAUGACGGCCUUCGGGUUGUAAACCGCUUUCGCCUGUGACGAAGCGUGAGUGACGGUAAUGGGUAAAGAAGCACCGGCUAACUACGUG
rnacentral:rRNA from 1 species